ACAAAAGUCAUGAAACUUGAAAGUUGUGGAUGGAACUCCUGAUGAAGUUCAGCAAGAGCGAGAACGUUUUGAGAAAGAACGUUGCAACGUUGACUCACAUUUUCUUCAUAUAUCAUGUCAAUAAAGUAAAGUAUGGCGACAGGCGUCCAACAUGACCUGAUGAAGCAGGCACAGUGCUUUUGGUCAAUGCUGGAUGAGCUUGCAGAGACCGAUGAAGAUGCAUACAGGAAGUUCAUGGCCACAAACCUCCAAAGAGGACAGCAAGAAUUGACACCGGCCAAGCCAUGGAUGUGCGUCAAGACCCGUAUCAUGGAAGUUGACAAGAACAG